UACGGGGGGAGCAAGCGUUGUUCGGAUUUACUGGGCGUAAAGGGCGGGUAGGCGGCCACCGCAAGUCGACUGUGAAAUCUCCGGGCCUAACCCGGAAAGGUCAGCCGAUACUGCGGGGCUAGAGUGCAGAAGGGGGCAACUGGAAUUCCUGGUGUAGCGGUGAAAUGCGCAGAUAUCAGGAGGAACACCGGUGGCGAAGGCGGGUCUCUGGGCCGAUACUGACGCUGAGGAGCGAAAGCGUGGGGAGCGAACAGG
rnacentral:rRNA from 1 species